rnacentral:rRNA from 1 species
AGUGAACGCUGGCGGCGUGCUUAACACAUGCAAGUCGAACGGAUGUCAUUGGGGCUUGCCCCGGUGACGUUAGUGGCAAACGGGUGAGUAAUACAUAGGAAUCUGCCUCGCAGUAUGGGAUAACUGUUGGAAACGACAGCUAAUACCGUAUAUUGCCUAAGGGUGAAAGAUUUAUCGCUACGAGAUGAGCCUAUGCAGGAUUAGCUAGUUGGUAGGGUAAAGGCCUACCAAGGCGAAGAUCCUUAGCUGGUCUGAGAGGAUGAUCAGCCACACUGGAACUGAGACACGGUCCAGACUCCUACGGGAGGCAGCAGUGGGGGAAUAUUGGACAAUGGGCGAAAGCCUGAUCCAGCGACGCCGCGUGAGUGAUGAAGGCCUUAGGGUUGUAAAGCUCUUUCAGUAGGGAAGAUGAUGACGGGUACCUACAGAAGAAGCCCCGGGCUAACUUCGUGCCAGCAGCCGCGGUAAU